rnacentral:rRNA from 1 species
AGAUGUAGUCAUACCUGAUUGUCAAUGUCAGAUCUUGGAAGCUAAGCGCGGUCGGCCCUGGUCAGUACUUGGGUGGGAGACCAUUGGGAAUCCCAGGUGCUACAGUUG